rnacentral:rRNA from 1 species
GCUUAGCCCUAAACACAAACAAUUUAUAACCAAAUUAUUCGCCAGAGAACUACAAGCAACAGCUCAAAACUCAAAGGACUUGGCGGUGCUUUAUACCCCUCUAGAGGAGCCUGUUCUAUAAUCGAUAAACCCCGAUAAACCUCACCUCUUCUUGCUACUUCAGCCUGUAUACCGCCAUCUUCAGCAAACCUUAAUAAAGAAUUAAAGUAAGCAUAAGUAUGAACAUAAAAAC